rnacentral:sRNA from 1 species
AAGAACAAGCGCAAAUCUUAAUGGAGAAUGAUGCAGUUUGCCAAGGUCAAG